ACUCAAGGUGUGUCCAUAUGGGACUGUUGUGGCUUUGGGAUGUUUUUUUUUUUUUUUGCGUUACUUAAAAAAGGAACACAGAAUGUGAGUUAUAUAAAGACAAGGGGCUAAGCAGUGCUCCCAACGCAGGACAAGCAUUUGUUAAGAGACACACAUAGCAUCCACAACGACACUCAUUUUCCUCAGCUCAACAAGUUAUGCAGCAGACACACAAUCUGUACCUCUCUUUAAUUAUGUAACCACACGCAUAUGCACGUAUUACAUAUGAGCACUGAGAUGCGAAAGUUGUCUGAACCAGCAGAAAUGGAAAUAUUGUUGAAGUGGGGGCGAUCCAAGAUCUGACAGUUGUGUCAAGUAAAAGGAAAGUUGCGACUUGGUUGUGUUGAAGCUUAUCACAGAACCAGAAACAACAAAACUUCAACAGCUGUUUACUUGAUGCACAAUUUAGCACAAACACUGGAACUGGAGAAAAAAAGAAUGUCACUUUGGCUGUGCUUAUCUCAUUUGUGUGAAAUACAAAAGUGGGCAAGCUGGAAAACUGGACUACACAGAAAGUAAACAUCCAAAAACAGAAACCGAAUACAUUCAAUUAAUGUUAUUGGAAUUGUGCAAACCCAGAUAUUGUGGUAGGUCUGGUCCACAGGAUCCAUCUGCCUGCAUUCCACCGACUAUGACACCAUUACCCAGUACAUUUGGGAACCAACCUGGCAACACCACCUCUGCUACCUCUGCCCUGCCUGCCCCCUCAAAUAGUCCUGCCCUGGAAGAUAGCCCAGUAUUUUCCUCUGGGAGCAGUGGCAGAGGUGGUAGGUUUGUCACCCACACUGAGUUGCCAGGGAUGGUGCCUAGGGUUGUGUGCUGCACUGUUGAUAUGCACCUAUGCCAGCUGGAUAGCCUUUUCUCCAUCAUUUUAUGAAGUACCAGGAGGAGGAGAAGGAGAUGUCAAUCUUUCCAGGCUGUGGCAGAGUGAGGUGACAGUGAUGACAGUCCUGUGGAUAACAACUCAAUUCUCACUGUCACCCAGCUGGACAACUAUGGGUAAUGGAUUUCCCCACCCUCACCCCAUCCAUGGUGUCCACUGACCUCUUGUGUCCAUCACCAUCACUGUCUCUUGUCUUGUUUG